rnacentral:rRNA from 1 species
CCUACGGGUGGCAGCAGUGGGGAAUAUUGCACAAUGGGGGAAACCCUGAAGCAGCGACGCCGCGUGAGUGAAGAAGUAUUUCGGUACGUAAAGCUCUAUCAGCAGGGAAGAAAAUGACGGUACCUGACUAAGAAGCCACGGCUAACUACGUGCCAGCAGCCGCGGUAAUACGUAGGGGGCAAGCGUUAUCCGGAUUUACUGGGUGGAAAGGGAGCGUAGACGGCAGCGUAAGUCUGAAGUGAGAGCCCAUGGCUUAACCAUGGAACUGCUUUGGAAACUGUGCAGCUGGAGUGCAGGAGAGGUAAUCGGAAGUCCUAGUGUAGCGGUGAAAUGCGUAGAUAUUAGGAGGAACACCAGUGGCGAAGGCGGCCUACUGGACUGUAACUGACGUUGAGGCUCGAAAGUGUGGGGAGCAAACAGGAUUAGAUACCCGGGUAGUC